rnacentral:rRNA from 1 species
AAGUCGUAACAAGGUUUCCGUAGGUGAACCUGCGGAAGGAUCAUUAUUGAAUAAGCUUGAACAGGCUGUUUUGCUGGCCCUCUGGGGCAAGUGCACGCUUGUCAUCUUUAUUUCUCCCCCAACUGUGCACAUAUUGUAGACCCUGGAUUGAGGAUUGCACCGUGUGCUUUCCUUGCAUUUUUUCCAGGUUCUAUGUUGUUUUACAAUUUCAGAAUGUUGUCAGAAGGUUGGAUUGGAAAUAAUAAAAAUACAACUUUCAGCAAUGGAUCUCUUGGCUCUCGCAUCGAUGAAGAACGCAGCGAAAUGCGAUAAGUAAUGUGAAUUGCAGAAUUCAGUGAAUCAUCGAAUCUUUGAACGCAUCUUGCGCUCCUUGGUAUUCUGAGGAGCAUGCCUGUUUGAGUGUCAUCAAAUUCUCAACCACAACCAAUUCUUCUUUUGGGUGUGGCUUUGGAUAUGGGGGAUUUCUUCUUUGCAGGCUUCUGAAAAAUAAAGUCGGCUCCCCUGAAAUGUAUUAGUGGUAUCUGAGCAGGAGACUACUAUGGUGUGAUAAAUCUAUCUAUGCCUUGGUACAACUGCUAUGCCGCUUCUAGCGAGUGCAUUUGACAAAUUUGACCUCAAAUCAGGUAGGACUACCCGCUGAACUUAAGCAUAUCAAUAAGCGGAGGAAAAGAAACUAACAAGGAUUCCCCUAGUAACUGCGAGUGAAGCGGGAAGAGCUCAAAUUUGAAAUCUGGCAGUUUCUCUACUGUCCGAGUUGUAGUCUAGAGAAGUGUUUACCUGUGCUGGACCGUGUACAAGUCUUCUGGAAUGGAGCAUCAUAGAGGGUGAGAAUCCCGUCUUUGACAUGGACUACCUGUACAUUAUGGGUGCGCUCUCGAAGAGUCGAGUUGUUUGGGAAUGCAGCUCAAAAUGGGUGGUAAAUGCCAUCUAAAGCUAAAUAUUGGCGAGAGACCGAUAGCGAACAAGUACCGUGAGGGAAAGAUGAAAAGAACUUUGGAAAGAGAGUUAAACAGUACGUGAAAUUGCUGAAAGGGAAACGCUUGAAGUCAGUCACGUUGGCUGGAAAUCAGCCUUGCUUUUGCUUGGUGUAUUUUCUGGUUGAUGGGUCAGCAUCAAUUCUGAUCACUGGAUAAAGUCUCUUGGGAAUGUGGCAUCUUUUGGAUGUGUUAUAGCCCAUGGUCGCAUACGGUGGUUGGGAUUGAGGAACUCAGCACGCCGCAAGGCCGGGUUUCGACCACGAUUUCGUGCUUAGGAUGCUGGCAUAAUGGCUUUAAUCGACC